rnacentral:lncRNA from 1 species
UGGGGCACAUUGAGUGAAAGGCAACACAAAAUAAUAAAUGCAGAUUUAACGGAAUGAAUUCUAGGACAUGGUGGUGGAUGUGGCAAGCUUGGCUCUCAGGUCUUUUCUUAGAAUCUUUCCACAAUGAGUUGAAGACAACACAAAAUAAUAAAUGCAGAUUUAACGGAAUGAAUUCUAGGACAUGGUGGUGGCUGUGGCAAGCUUGGCUCUGAGGUCUUUUCUUAGAAUCUUUCCAGAAGCCGAUUUGGGAAUAGAAUGAACGAAGAACACCUUGUGCAGUUUCUUGUAGAACACCACCUGUUUAGAACAAAAUGUAAGAGUAUGUAUGAUCUUAGCUUCCAAUAUUGGACGAGGAAGCUUUUCUUUUUCCUUGUUCUUAAUAAGCAUUGAAACCCUUAUUAGGAUUGUUUAGAAAUGGUAUCUUUUUUAACAUUGAAAGAGCUAGUAUAUAUAUAUAUAUAUUGAAG